CUGAACAUUCUCUAGAACUGAAUCAAAUCAUUUUAACUCUUAGUUCAAAAACUUACACACCAAAACCUCAUAUUUGACCUAAAAACACCUACUACACCACCUAGUUGCAUUCUCAUCCAUCUUUAACCAAUUUCAACAUCACCAAACAUCUUCAGAACACAAUCUUUCGUACAAUUAUCAUUCGACAUUAACAAUCAUCAUGUGAUCAAAUUCACUCAUUCAACGACAAUAAUUCACACUCAAUCAAUGAAACACAAAAAGUGAAACCCUACGUCGCGCACGAAACAACCGACAUGGCAUGCGAGUGAUGUCCACAGCCUGCCGCUGCCAGCGAUGUCUGCGCAGUCGCCGACUGUGCCCUCGCCGCCACGGCCUAAGGCCGUACUCGCUAGAGCCGCGCGAUUUUCGCCGGUGGAAGGGGAGGCACCAAAUGAAGGCCAGGAAGUCCCCCGCUGAAUUGAUGAAGAAGAGGGCACCGGAGAUUCGGAGAAUGGCUCCGCCGCUGCAGAAGAAGGCGCGCUCUCUCGGACGGUUAAUCCCCGGCUGCCGGAAGGCUACAAUAUAUCAACAAAAAGCUUUGGAUAUCAAUGAGAGAGAGUUAGGUCUGGAUCAUCCUGAUACCAUGAAGAGCUAUGGGGAUCUUGCUGUUUUCUAUUACAGACUACAGCACAGAGAGCUGGCUCUGAACCUUUCGUUAAUUGGAUCAACAUUCAAGUAUGUAAAGCGUGCUUUAUAUCUUCUGCAUCUAACAUGCGGCCCAUCUCAUCCAAACACUACUGCUACUUACAUUAAUGUGGCUAUGAUGGAAGAAGGUCUGGGAAAUGCACAUGUCGCUCUCAGAUAUCUUCACAAAGCUUUAAAGUGCAACCAAAGAUUACUUGGAGCAGAUCAUAUUCAGACAGCUGCAAGUUAUCAUGCAAUAGCUAUAGCACUCUCAUUGAUGGAAGCAUAUCCACUGAGCGUGUAGCAUGAGCAAACAACUUUGCAAAUUCUGAGGUGAAAACUUGGUCCUGAUGACUUGGGAACACGGAAAAUCAGAACAAAAGGGCUUCAUGGAUGAUUUAUUACAGAGUAUGUUUUGAUGUUCAUUCAUUAUUUACAAAUGAGAAGACCUGUCAUCCUUCCAUGCUUGCAGGAGAUGGAGACAACGUAUUCUGUGACUGUGGAUGAUAUUAAAUGUGCUUCCUUUGAUAAAGUUAUAUAUGUAGAGAACUCUACAUAUCUAAUUAAAUUAAAAUAAUUUUGUUUUUAAUUCAUCUAUAAUAGUUUUGGUUUUUAUCAUUCAAUUAUUCAAUUAACUCUUUUAAGUAAAUACUCGUUAAUUAUUAUUUUGUUAUUUUCAUAGUAUAAAUUACUUAUUUCAAUUUCUCUCUUAAUAUAUAAAUUAUUUGUCUCUGAAAUUUUGGGCUUUUAAGGACUUAAGUUAAUUGAAAACUAUAUUUUUAAGUUAUUGAAACAUCUAAAAAAAGUAAGCAUUUUGAACAACUGAUAUUUUUACAAGAAGGCAAUAAGAAUUUCUGUUACAAUCCACAGAGAAGCGGAAGAAAAGAGGGCAUUUAUUGAGGCCAAAAAAGGGGAAGAUUUCUUGAAGGUAGAACAGAUAUUUGCAAAUUACAGGGCAACUGGAACAACCCCAAAGAAACUCUUUUACAUAUCAAUUGAGUAAUAGUCUUUAAUUAAGAAGUUUCAAUAAUAGUUCUAGGUUUUACAUUUUUCUUUUAUUUGACCAUGAUGUUUAUGUAAUAUAUAUCUAUUUUAAAUGUGAAAUGUUUGGUAAUGAAAGCUAUUUUAAAACUGACAGUAACAUUACAUACGUUAUAUCUAUCUUAGUUUAAUGACUCAAAUUAUGCAAAAUUUAUGUAGAUUAUAUAUUAAAAAGAAUAAAAUACUUACUGAAACAUUUAAAUAAUAAUAAAUUUAGUUAAAAUCAACAUAACACUCUAGAAUAUCAACCUGUAGUUUAUACUGCCUUCACUUGUUGUAUGACAUCUAAGGGUGAAGAAAUACACUUAUGACAACUUAUAUUUUUCUGUAUAUUGUUGUCAUUUCCUCAUAUAUCUUUGUUUGCUGCAGCUGGAGGUUACUCAAGGAUUUUGUCCUUACAAAAUAUGUUGAUAGUGAGAAAACAGAGCCAAAUGUAGUUUUCUAUUGAGGUUUGUAAUCUAACAAGAAUAAUUUUCAGGACAUCAAUUCGGUAAAGGAAGAGUUCAUGAAGAUUAAAGAAUGGCUAUGAAGGUUCUCGUGAGAGGAUGGAGAUGUCCAUCCUGUUAGCUUAUCAACUGUCAAAUUGAUGUUAAGAAAAGGAAUCCGGUCUUCCAUAUUAGCUUGUUUGUAAUGUAUUACCAGUUUAAGUGAAGAUUAUAGUGGCUAGAUCUAUUUUAUUUUGAUUUAUCUGUUAUUGUGUUGUACUAUAGACUUGUAUAUUCUAUGUUCAUAUUGCGGGUAAAGCAUAACAAGAUAGACUUGUAUAUUACUCAA